GCCAAUCUUGAUAACAGCAGUCCAUUUAGCACAGGGAAAUCAACAACUGGCUACUCGAGCCAAGAAUUAUAAGAAUUGAUUGGGUCAAUAUUGACCACAACUGACCAUUUCGGACAAUACUACGCAACUGACAAUUAUGGAAAAUACUGACCACAAUUGACCAUUUCGGACAAUACUAACUAAAACCUGACCAUUAUGGUGGAAGUCGGCUCAAAGAACCUCGUCGGCAUGGCCUUAUAACGGAUUCAGAAUCUGGAGCGGAAUCUGAUUCGGUUCCUUACCCGGUGCUGAAUUCUGUUGAACAGCCAAGGAAUGGGGCUCAUGCAACGGACUCCAGGAAACGACCAGUUCGAUUGAAGACUAAGCAUUCAGAAAAUCAUCCAAAAGAUCAGUACCAUUUCGAUGAUUCUGACCAAGAUCCUGAUUACAAAGAUGAUCAAGCUGAUUCCAGCGACUCAGAUUCCAGCUACUCAGAUGGAGAACCAGCCGUGAAGAAGCGCAAGAGAAAUCCGAAGAAGAAGUGGACAGAUGAAGAGAAGGCAUCACUGAAGCUGUUAGUGCUUAAGGCCUUUAGAGAGAAGCAACCACCCACUAAAUCUGACAUUACAAGGCUAUUUAAAAAAAAAAUAUUGUGAAAGGAAUGCCCUGGUUAAGCAUAAAGCAUCAAGUGUGGGCCAUGGCCCAACAACAAUUAAAGCAGGCAAUGACAGUGAAAUCACCUAGUAUGUGUAAGUAAGGAUGAACAUACAUGUACAAGCCUGAGAAACUAUAGAUGUGUUAUGAUAUUUUAAAAUUGGUUGUGUGUAAUCAUACUGAUGUAUCAGGUGUGGAAAUUGCAGUGAUAGUAUAGUACACAUGGAUCCUCAUAUUGAAUUAAAUCUUGAAUCCAU